ensembl:rRNA 5S_rRNA 5S ribosomal RNA
AUCCCCUGCCAAACAACCCUGAAAGUGCUGGAUUUCAUCUGAUCUUGGAAGCUAAGCAGAAUUGGGCCUGAUUAGUACUUCAAUGGGACACGGCCUGGGAAUACUGGUUGCUGUAGGUU